CUGGAAGCGUGUGAGUGUGUGUGUGUGUGACUGUGUGUGUGCGCGCGUGUGUAUGUUUGUGUGUGAGUGUGACUGUGUGUGCGCGCGCACGUGCAUGAGUGUGAGUGUGAGAGCGUGUGAGAGUUUGUGCGUGUGUAUGUUUGUGCGUGAGUGUGACAGUGAGUGUGUGCACGCACGUGCAUGAGUGUGUGAGUGUGAGAGCGUGUGAGAGUUUGUGUAUGUGUGUGAGUGUGAGAGCGUGAGAGUUUGUGUGCGUGUGUAUGUUUGUGUGUGUGACAGUGUGAGUGUGUGCGCGCACGUGCGUGAGUGUGUGAGUGUGAGAACGUGUAAGAGUGUGUGUGCGCGUGUGUAUGUUUGUGUGUGAGCGUGAGAGUGUGUGCGUGUGCGCGCGCACGUGUGUGUGGUGUGUGAGUGUCUCUGUGUGUGAGUGUGAGUGUGCGUGAGUGUGCGUGAGUGUGUAAGUGCAUGAUGUGUGCAUGUGUAAGUGUGUGAGGGAGUGUGAGAGUGUGUGCAUGUGUGUGAGAGUGUAUGCAUGUGAGUGUGUGAGAGUGUGUCUGAGUGUGUGUGUGUGUGUGUGUGCGCGCGCGCAUGUGCUGCUUUGACAAAGGAGGGGCUCCGAUCGAGAAACCAGAUGUCGCUUCCGGACCCAAAGGCUAAGCCGGUGGCAGCCUCAGCCGCUAGCUGGAGCCUGCGGUGUGGGUGUGGGACAGUCACUCCUCCCCGCCGGGGCAGGGGCGCUGGUGCUCAGGGGCCCACGGUUGCAGCCUGGAGUGAAUGGUUUGUCGCCUCCUCCAAAAAUAGCAGAGAGCGGGAGUUGGAGUGUUAGCCUUUUCUCUUAGUGGACAGUAGCCAAAAGAGGGAUGGAGUCAAAGCAUCCAGAAGGCGUUAAAAACUGCUUUGAUGAGAUGGAAGUCACCUAUGCUCACAUUCCAUGGACCAAAAUCAGGCAAAUGGGCAAGUUCAAAGUCAGUGAUGCCACCAUUGUACUUUGCAGCCAAUAUGAUAGAAGAGCUCUGCAUUCUGAAAGUUUCUUGAGCAGAACCGUAGAAGGAACACAAAGACAAGAACCCUAGAGGAGCUGGGUGAUGGUGGCACACACGUUUAAUCCCAGCACUUGGGAGGCAGAUGCAGGCGGAUCUCUGUGAACUUGAGGCCGGCUUGGUCUACAGAGUAAGUUUCAGGACACUCAGAACUGUUACACAGAGAAACCCUAUUUUGAAAACUAAACCAAAGCAAACACCAACCAACCAAAAAGGAAUCUUAGAGGAGAGGGAGUGCCUGGGGAGUUAGACAGGGCACCAAGCUUUAUUCUAAUGCCAAGGCAUUUCCUUAGGUUUGGCAUCAUUUACUCUGCCCACAGAUGUCAAUCCUGCACAGAUGUCAUGGUGUAG
rnacentral:lncRNA from 1 species